rnacentral:rRNA from 1 species
GGUUAAGUGAAUAAGGGCGCACGGUGGAUGCCUUGGCACUAGGAGCCGAUGAAGGACGGGACUAACACCGAUAUGCUUCGGGGAGCUGUAAGUAAGCUUUGAUCCGGAGAUUUCCGAAUGGGGAAACCCAGCAUCUUUUAUAGGAUGUUACUUUUCAGUGAAUACAUAGCUGAUUAGAGGUAGACGCAGAGAACUGAAACAUCUAAGUACCUGCAGGAAGAGAAAGAAAAAUCGAUUCCCUGAGUAGCGGCGAGCGAAACGGGAAAAGCCCAAACCAAGAGGCUUGCCUCUUGGGGUUGUAGGACUCCGAUAUGGUAGUCCAGUGAGAUAGUCGAAGGACCUGGAAAGGUCUGCUAGAAAGGGUAAAAGCCCCGUAGACAAAAUUUGACUGGCACCUAGGAGGAUCCUGAGUACGGCGGAACACGAGGAAUUCCGUCGGAAUCCGGGAGGACCAUCUCCCAAGGCUAAAUACUCCCUAGUGACCGAUAGUGAACCAGUACCGUGAGGGAAAGGUGAAAAGCACCCCGGAAGGGGAGUGAAAUAGAUCCUGAAACCGUGUGCCUACAACAAGUUAGAGCCCGUUAAUGGGUGAUAGCGUGCCUUUUGUAGAAUGAACCGGCGAGUUACGAUUACUUGCGAGGUUAAGUUGAAAAGACGGAGCCGCAGCGAAAGCGAGUCUGAAUAGGGCGAAUGAGUAAGUGGUCGUAGACCCGAAACCAUGUGAUCUACCCAUGUCCAGGUUGAAGGUGCGGUAAAACGCACUGGAGGACCGAACCCACGUACGUUGAAAAGUGCGGGGAUGAGGUGUGGGUAGCGGAGAAAUUCCAAACGAACUUGGAGAUAGCUGGUUCUCUCCGAAAUAGCUUUAGGGCUAGCCUCAGAGUAAGAAUGAUGGAGGUAGAGCACUGUUUGGACUAGGGGCCCAUCUCGGGUUACCGAAUUCAGAUAAACUCCGAAUGCCAUCCAUUCAUCUCUGGGAGUCAGACUGUGAGUGAUAAGAUCCAUAGUCGAAAGGGAAACAGCCCAGACCACCAGCUAAGGUCCCCAAAUAACUAUUAAGUGGAAAAGGAUGUGGGGUUGCACAGACAACUAGGAUGUUGGCUUAGAAGCAGCCACCAUUUAAAGAGUGCGUAAUAGCUCACUAGUCGAGUGACCCUGCGCCGAAAAUGUACCGGGGCUAAAUAGUUUACCGAAGCUGUGGAAUACNNNNNNNNNNNNNNNNNNNNNNNNNNNNNNNNNNNNNNNNNNNNNNNNNNNNNNNNNNNNNNNNNNNNNNNNNNNNNNNNNNNNNNNNNNNNNNNNUAGUACCGAAGUUCCUGAUGUCACACUGCCGAGAAAAGCUUCUAGUGAGAAAACAAUGGCCCGUACCGCAAACCGACACAGGUAGUCGAGGAGAGAAUCCUAAGGUGAGCGAGAGAACUCUCGUUAAGGAACUCGGCAAAAUGACCCCGUAACUUCGGGAGAAGGGGUGCUGAUCUAACGAUCAGCCGCAGUGAAUAGGCCCAAGCGACUGUUUAUCAAAAACACAGGUCUCUGCAAAAUCGAAAGAUGACGUAUAGGGGCUGACGCCUGCCCGGUGCUGGAAGGUUAAGAGGAGUGCUUAGCGUAAGCGAAGGUACGAAUUGAAGCCCCAGUAAACGGCGGCCGUAACUAUAACGGUCCUAAGGUAGCGAAAUUCCUUGUCGGGUAAGUUCCGACCCGCACGAAAGGCGUAACGAUUUGGGCACUGUCUCAACGAGAGACUCGGUGAAAUUUUAGUACCUGUGAAGAUGCAGGUUACCCGCGACAGGACGGAAAGACCCCAUGGAGCUUUACUGCAGUUUGAUAUUGAGUGUUUGUACCACAUGUACAGGAUAGGUAGGAGCCGUAGAAGUCGGGACGCUAGUUUCGACAGAGGCGCUGGUGGGAUACUACCCUUGUGUUAUGACCACUCUAACCCGCACCACUAAUCGUGGUGGGAGACAGUGUCAGAUGGGCAGUUUGACUGGGGCGGUCGCCUCCUAAAGAGUAACGGAGGCGCCCAAAGGUUCCCUCAGAAUGGUUGGAAAUCAUUCGCAGAGUGUAAAGGCACAAGGGAGCUUGACUGCGAGACCUACAAGUCGAGCAGGGACGAAAGUCGGGCUUAGUGAUCCGGUGGUUCCGCAUGGAAGGGCCAUCGCUCAACGGAUAAAAGCUACCCUGGGGAUAACAGGCUUAUCUCCCCCAAGAGUCCACAUCGACGGGGAGGUUUGGCACCUCGAUGUCGGCUCGUCGCAUCCUGGGGCUGUAGUCGGUCCCAAGGGUUGGGCUGUUCGCCCAUUAAAGCGGCACGCGAGCUGGGUUCAGAACGUCGUGAGACAGUUCGGUCCCUAUCCGUCGCGGGCGUUGGAAAUUUGAGAGGAUCUGUCCUUAGUACGAGAGGACCGGGAUGGACUUACCGCUGGUGUACCAGUUGUCUCGCCAGAGGCAUCGCUGGGUAGCUAUGUAGGGAAGGGAUAAACGCUGAAAGCAUCUAAGUGUGAAGCCCACCUCAAGAUGAGAUUUCCCAUUUCUUUAAGAAAGUAAGAUCCCUGAGAGAAGAUCAGGUAGAUAGGUCAGGAGUGGAAGUGCAGUGAUGUACGGAGCGGACUGAUACUAAUCGAUCGAGGACUUAACCAA